rnacentral:misc_RNA from 1 species
CCAAUAGCGUAUAUUAAAGUUGCUGCAGUUAAAAAGCUCGUAGUUGAAUUUCGGGACUAAUAUGUCGGUCGUGCCUCGGUACGUACUGGUAUUUUUGGUUUCUCCCUUCUGACGAACCUUGAUGUCAUUAAUUUGGUGUCUUGGGAAAUCAGGACUGUUACUUUGAAAAAAUUAGAGUGUUUAAAGCAGGCUCACGCUUGAAUACAUUAGCAUGGAAUAAUGAAAUAGGACGUUUGAUUUUAUUUUGUUGGUUUCUAGGAUCGACGUAAUGAUUAAUAGGGAUAGUUGGGGGCAUUAGUAUUCAAUUGUCAGAGGUGAAAUUCUUGGAUUUAUUGAAGACUAACUACUGCGAAAGCAUUUGCCAAGGAUGUUUUCAUUAAUCAAGAACGAAAGUUAGGGGAUCGAAGACGAUCAGAUACCGUCGUAGUCUUAACCAUAAACUAUGCCGACUAGGGAUCGGAUGAUGUUAAUUUUUUAAUGACUCAUUCGGCGCCUUACG